UACCAGCUCUCCGAGUGGUAGGGAUGAUUAUUGGGCUUAAAGCGUCCGUAGCCGGCUUAGCAAGUUUCCUGUUAAAUUCAGCGACCUAAUCGUUGAGCCGCGGGAAAUACUACUAGGCUAGGAGGCGGGAGAAGGUCGACGGUACUUCUGGGGUAGGGGUGAAAUCCUAUAAUCCCGGGAGGACCACCAGUGGCGAAGGCUGUCGACUAGAACGACGCUCGACGGGUGAGGGACGAAAGCUGGGGGAGCGAAACCGGAUUAGAUACCCGGGUAGUCCCAGCUGUAAACGAUGCGGGCUAGGUGUUGGGGUGGCUACGAGCCACUUCAGGUGCCGCAGGGAAGCCAUUAAGCCCGCCGCCUGGGGAGUACGGCCGCAAGGCUGAAACUUAAAGGAAUUGGCGGGGGAGCACCACAAGGCGUGAAGCUUGCGGUUC
rnacentral:rRNA from 1 species